ACCCUAAUACUAAUCCUAACCUUAACUCUAACCCUAACCCCAACCAUAUCCCCAACCUUGACUCCAAUGCAAACCUCAACCCUAAUUCCAACCCAACUCUUAAUAUUCCUCCUUACAUCUAACCUUAACCCUAACCCGAUUAACCCCAUUCCACAAUCUCCUAACCAAAUAUCUGAACCCGUAAAUCAAUAAGCUGAAUCCAAAAUCCGUGG
rnacentral:lncRNA from 1 species